rnacentral:tRNA from 1 species
CCCGUGAUAGCUCAGUUGGUAUAUAGAGCGGAGGACUAGUGAUCCUUAGGUCACUGGUUCGAAUCCGGUUCGCGGGA